UACGUAGGGUGCGAGCGUUAAUCGGAAUUACUGGGCGUAAAGCGUGCGCAGGCGGUUUUGUAAGACAGGCGUGAAAUCCCCGGGCUCAACCUGGGAAUGGCGCUUGUGACUGCAAAGCUGGAGUGCGGCAGAGGGGGGUGGAAUUCCGCGUGUAGCAGUGAAAUGCGUAGAUAUGCGGAGGAACACCGAUGGCGAAGGCAAUCCCCUGGGCCUGCACUGACGCUCAUGCACGAAAGCGUGGGGAGCAAACAGGAUUAGAUACCCUGGUAGUCCACGCCCUAAACGAUGUCAACUGGUUGUUGGGUAUUUACUUACUCAGUAACGAAGCUAACGCGUGAAGUUGACCGCCUGGGGAGUACGGCCGCAAGGUUG
rnacentral:rRNA from 1 species